GGAAUAUGAACUUUUCUUUCUUUUUUUUUUUUUAGAUGGGUUCUUGUUCUGUUCCCCAGGCUGGAGUACAAUGGCACCAUCACAGCUCACUGCAGCCUUGAUCUCCCAGGGUCAAGGGAUCAUCGUGCCUCAGCCUGCUGAGUAGCUGGGACUACAGGAGUGCACCACCACACCUGGCUAAUUUUUUUAAAAAAAAUCUUUGUAGAGAUGAGCUCUCACUAGGUUGCCCAGGCUGGUCUUGAACUCCUGAGCUCAAGCAAUCCUCCCACCUUGGGCUCCCUAAGUGUUGGGAUUACAGGCAAGAGUCACCACGCCCAGCCAGGAUCACAGACGUUUAAAUUACACUCCUUCUGCUGUGCCUUACAGCAGUAGAAGGGGUGAAAUUUAAACGUCUGUGAUCCUGGGGUUGUUGAAGAUGCCACCCAUCUACAUAUUCUUUCAGAUGCACAAUAUUUCACUGUGUGAAUGAAACAGCAGCCCUUCUUACGUGUGCUUUUUGGAAUUUGAAGAUUUUGUAAGAUAAGAUGAAUGCAUUGGAACAAGUGAUCCUCAAUUCUGUGCAGUCUGUGCCUCCGGAGACUGGCGGCUGCCCCUCCCUGUCUAGUCUUGCAAGAGAGGCAGCUGGCAAGAGGACAGAAGCCGGCAGCUGCUGCGUUUUCAUCCUGUUUCUGCUCUUGGAGCUGAGGGGGAGAGGUGGCUAGCAGCCACCCAGUGAUCAAACUUGCAGCCUGCCUCUCUUGCUUCCUUUUCACAGACUGGAGUGUGCCUGGGUAUGGAGAAAGAACAUUUUGCUUCUUGCCUCUCAGAGUUUCAAGAACGCCUCACCUGAGUGGCAUGCAUUCAUGGAAUGAGUAAUUAUUACAGUGGAGAACUCCUCACUGUGAAUUAAUUACACAGAUGAUAUUCAAGACUUAGACUGGGCUAGUGCAGGGGUUAGCAAACUAUGGCCCACUGUUCUUGUUUUAUAAAUAAAGUGUUAUGAGCACACAGCCAUGCCCAUUCAUUUGCAGAUUAUGGCUGCUUUUGCCUGACAGUGCCAGAUGUAAGUAGUUGUGGCAAAG
rnacentral:lncRNA from 1 species